rnacentral:rRNA from 1 species
CCUACGGGAUGCAGCAGUGGGGAAUAUUGGACAAUGGGCGAAAGCCUGAUCCAGCCAUGCCGCGUGUGUGAAGAAGGCCUUCGGGUUGUAAAGCACUUUCAGUGGGGAAGAAAGCCUUGGGGCUAAUACCCUCGAGGAAGGACAUCACCCACAGAAGAAGCACCGGCUAACUCCGUGCCAGCAGCCGCGGUAAUACGGAGGGUGCGAGCGUUAAUCGGAAUUACUGGGCGUAAAGCGCGCGUAGGCGGUCUGAUAAGCCGGUUGUGAAAGCCCCGGGCUCAACCUGGGAACGGCAUCCGGAACUGUCAGGCUAGAGUGCAGGAGAGGAAGGUAGAAUUCCCGGUGUAGCGGUGAAAUGCGUAGAGAUCGGGAGGAAUAACAGUGGCGAAGGCGGCCUUCUGGACUGACACUGACGCUGAGGUGCGAAAGCGUGGGUAGCAAACAGGAUUAGAUACCCUAGUAGUC